AUGUCUGGAAUGGGAUGUCUUGUUUUGCCCCAAUCUCAUGGACUUCUGUCCAUAAGGAAAAUCCAGUCAGGGUUUUCUAAAUUUUCCUCAAAUUUUUUUUUUUUUUUUUUUCUGAAAACAAAAAAAUUAAACAAAUAAAUUCGGUAAGUAAAAUAGCUUGCCGAAGUUUUCACAGUAUCUCACAACUAGUGAAAGUCUUCAUGUUCCUGAUCUUUCUUCCUGUCAGAAAUAGGGACACACUUACACAGCAUACUUUACCCCACAGAGCCUUCAUUUUUAUCUGAUGUUCUGCCAGGCAUAUAAAACUGGUUGAACUUUAGCUUCAUUAAUAUUCACCUUGCUCUGGUCUUUCUGAAAACAGAUUCUAUGAGAACUUAAUUAUGCUGAAUAGUAUUAAACUUGAGGUAGAGGACAAGGUUUCCAGGAUAAAUUAAAGAUGGAAAACUGUAAGUUAAAUUAACUUCAGUUUUUAUAUUUUGUUUCAGAGUUUAUUGAGAUUUUAAUAAUUUAAUAUAUGUUGAAUCUUCAAAGGUAUAUAACCUUCAAAUAUAAUGAACCACAGAAUUGUGUUCUACUUUGAGAAUCUUGAGGAACUACGUUUUUGCAAAACGUAAUUUAUAAAAUUGUUUUCUUUUAUUGCACAAAAGGCACAGUAUUCUAAGAAUCAGAUUAAUAACAUACCUUGUAACUUAUCUUUCUGCCAUUUCUGAGAUUGAAAGAAAGUUUCGUGGUAUAUAGAGUGCUCAUAAUACUUGUAGGAUUGCAUUGGCAUCAACCUAGCUAUAAAAGUUUAUUUGCCGGGCGCGGUGGCUCAAGCCUGUAAUCCCAGCACUUUGGGAGGCCGAGACGGGCGGAUCACGAGGUCAGGAGAUCGAGACCAUCCUGGCUAACACGGUGAAACCCCGUCUCUACUAAAAAAUACAAAAAACUAGCCGGGCGAGGUGGCGGGCGCCUGUAGUCCCAACUACUCGGGAGGCUGAGGCAGGAGAAUGGCGUGAACCCGGGAGGCGGAGCUUGCAGUGAGCUGAGAUCCGGCCACUGCACUCCAGCCUGGGCGGCAGAGCGAGACUCCGUCUCAAAAGAAAAUUUUUAAAGGAAAUUUUUAGUAAAAAGAGAAACUGCAUACAAUGCAAUUUACCUGGUUUUUUUUUCUAAUACAGCAUUCAGUAC
rnacentral:lncRNA from 1 species